GAUUCCGCGUAAGUAGAACCAUUUCGUCUGUUGAAGUAACACGUCGCCAUUGUUUCUGUUCGUUUGAACAUUCCAGAAAUGGGUUAUUAAUGGUUGUUCGUGCUGUUCUCUGAAGAUUUUACUAUAUUUUGUCUUGCUGCUUCAGUGAAAACGUUUAUACGGAUUUAUUCACAAAACGCCCUAAAUAGCUAGGGGCUUCUUCCUUUGGACCCCUAUCUACCUACUAUUGUAUUUGGAUUAGUUUUAUUGGAAUAUUAUUUGGAAUCUACGCUGGAAUUAAUUUGUCCACAACGUGGUCUAAUAAACGAUAACGACCCCGACGCCUUGCCGACCAUUUUGGAUCUUCAUCACGUGAUCGGUUAAGCAGAUUUCUACCUGACCCACCGACAUUUUCAAACCACAUUUGACGACGUAUCUUUAUUUCGGAUUUAUAACCGCAAGUAUUGACGCCCUUAUUAUCUACCAUUGCUAGACGUUUGACUACCGAAUUUAUUUAUCAACGAUUGAUUACCAAAUUUUCGACGCUGGAUAUUUUUGGCCCGAAUUACCUCGAAAUACUUCAAAAUUACUACAUAACCUCCGACCUAACCUUAAAUUAUUUACGACCCCCUUUGUUUGUAUUUAAUUGACUUCAUAUUUACCUUGUUUACUGUGUUGUUUUGAUAUUAUUUAAAUUGUGCCUUGUGUGAAAAUUGAAUUAUUUAGAUUACUCGUGUAAAUAUUUUGCUGUUCAUUUAUGCUAACUGUUGUGAGUUGAAGAAGCUUUAGAUCGACCCCAAAAUUUUGUUUUUUCUGUAAUGUAACUGAUUUUUUUGUAUUCGCUGAAGACGAUUACAAUUUCUUUGUGUGUGUAUUAUCAGCUAUUUAGCUUCGAACGUUAAACCUUUUUGGGCACGUAUUCGCCUAGUGCAUCAAUUAACCCUUAUAGUAUUUUUGUGUGUUUAACCUGAUUUCAGGAUUGGCGUAGCGCACUCCUUCGAGCUCGAAUGGUUGCGACCCGAGUUUCAAGCUUACAAGGUUCUCUUAGUCUACAUUGUCCCCUGAUAGUAACGUUGCAUCACCUCGAAAAAUAACGACAUUCUGGAGCGGGGCCGUAAGUUUUGACUUGCCACGUAUAUCAUUUGGCUUUAUAUUUUACUUGAUAUUUAUGAGAUGAUUGAUCUACUACUUGCUCAAGUAAAAUGUGGGUACAGUGCAAGCUUCUCGCAAAUGAAAUGGACAAAAAUAUACAAAUAGACCUUAUGUCCACGUACCGUUGCGAGUGAUAUGAAAAAUAUACAAGCCAAAACCUGGAGCAGUUUCAAGGUCGCUCGCCAUCAGCGUGACCUUGGACAAUAGGUCAAGGUGAAUGUCAAGGUAAAACUCAACAGACACUUGCCUGCGCUCUCUCAUUUUCGAGGUCAUGCAUGGUCCACGACCCCAUUUUUGAGGUGUCAUUUAAUUUUCAUGGUCGACUACCUUAUUUUUUGAUGCCAUACUUUAUUUUCAAGGUCAUCUAAAGUCAACAACCGCAUUUUUAAGGGGUCGUUUGAUUUUCAUUGUCGACUACCCUAUUUCUUGUGAUGUCAUACUGCAUUUUCAAGGUCAUCCAAGGUGUCAUUUAACUUUCAUGGUUAAUACCCCUUUUUUUGAGGUGUCAUUUUAAGGUCAUCGAAGGUUAAUCAACCCAUUUUUUUUGGUGUUAUAUUUUUGCAACGCCAUCUGUUGCCUUUGUACGUGUCAUUUAUUUCCCAAGGUUAUGCAAGGUCAAUGGCCCCCUUUUUGUGAUAUUUCAUUUUUCAGGUCAUCCAAGUACACAAGUUGACAUUGAGAAGUAGACCUCGGUGAAGGUCAAAGGCUUCAUCUUCAGUCAUGCCUUUGCUUGCUAGGCCUUUCAUGUUGAAAAUACACUCUUGGCCUGUUCCUGUUUUCUAAAACAAAACACCUUGUGCAAUCGUGAAUCUUUCUCGUGACCAUUUUCAAAUUUCCCCAUUUAUUCAGUCCUAACCGAGGCCCUAUCUCUUCUUGUAAGAAACUCUGCAAAUAAAAACUUACGAAAUUAGCGCAAAUUCUUCUAUCCUCUUUUCUACUCGUCGCCGGAAAAGAUACGUAUCGUUUGUGCAACAUUGUUCAUUUUCAUCACAAGGUUCAUGUUCAGUGUGCGACAUUGUGUCCUUUGUCGAUAUCUCCAUAAGAGAGUACAAAAUUUUUAAAAUGAUCUCGUCCGUAUCAUAAUCAUCAUCCAUACACAAUACGUUGUAGAACAUUAUAUCUUUAAGUGUCUCAGAAUUUCUUAACAGAAUCGAUUUUAAUUGUGCUCUUAUAUAGCUCCGUGUACAGUAAGAUAAGAACAGUAAACCCCGAAUCGAUAAAAUGCCAACGCUUAUAAAUAGCUUGCCCCGUCUGAUUCGAGUUUUUUUCAAUUCAAUAUUGGGAUAAGAAUGAACUAGGUAUCAAACGUUUCCGACAAACCUAGUAAUUCAUAAGAUAACUUUUUAUUAAAAAUCCAUCAUUCUCCUGUCUUCUUUGCGUAAAAAUGCUAAUGCUCACAUAAAAUCCUUGUUUAUUUGGGUUGUGAAGAAAAAUGAGUUAUAAAGGGUACUGGACCUUUCGGAAAAGUUCGUAUCAUUCGCGUGUAAAGUGGUACUAUAACAAUGAGACGUGUAAUAAAUGACCUUAUAUUUAUGUAUCGUGUAGUAACCGCGCUAUAAAUCCAUAAAAGUUUAUAAUCUACUGCUGAAGGGUUAAAAGGAUGACAUUUUUUAAUUAAUUGUCGUGUAUUUUAUUUUACAGUUGUGACAAAUGUGCGCGUCGCGUUUCUAAGGCACCCUGUUCAUUUUCGAUUAUAAUUUUUUCAACUUUGUUGUAUUUAUAUUAUCUAUAAUUUAAAAAUGCUUUUAAGUUUAAAUUGCGACCUCGUUUUGCGUGCUCUGUGAAGGUUUUAGUGUAUUUCACUUUUAUCACUACGUCACACGCAAUGCAUCAGAUAUCAAAGCUACUCCCUUAACACGAGGCAAUUUGUGUUGAAGUUGUUUACUUCACAAUUUUAAUUUAUUCCUUUGCAGUAUUUUUCACCCCCGUCGUAAACACAUUAGGUGGAUGUCCGUCGCAGAACGAUAUGACGUAGGCUCUUGUGUAUAUUUCUGGAGGCACUACGGCUAUUGAUCCUCAGGUCAAAAAAGAAGGAAAAUACAUAACAUUCGUGAACAAUUUCUCACAGAAAUACCUUACAGUGUAACUAGGGAGAUGCCCAAAACGCAUUCAAGACAAAAGGAAUAGUCCGUCCUGGAUAUGACCGAGAUGACAUACUUAUUUCACAUUUCUACACGGUUUUUCUGCAAUUACAAGUAUUUGAACGCAAGUCUAACUAACCUCACAAUGAAAACUGCUACUUAUUUUCAAUGAGUGAUUUAUUAUCGAUUAGUACCACAAUAAUUACGAUAGGGGGCCAGUUAAAACCCUUUCAUUUUAGAGUAAGGAAGGAAAACUUCGUAAAAAAAGGAGUGCAAGUUAGUCGAUUCCAGUUAGGAGAGGUGCAAGAUUGUUAACACUAAUUGACUAGUAUGCGGUUUAGAAGAUUUUGCUAAUUAUAUUCAGUGCGAACCACUACCUGUUGGAAUACUGCACUACAAGGGAAAUUCUUUUCAAUUAAGAUUAAUUAAUUGAAAUAGAGAUAAUAUUUGCAAGUAGCUAUAACCCUAUAUAAUCUGAGUGUGGCCUGCUAUGAAUAAAUCCAACAGUCACCAAAGGUCAAGGACGGACUUAUUAAAUUAAAGUUAGGAGUUAUAGAUUUGUGUAUGUGCUUUAUUAAUAAUGAAAAUUAAGCCGCGCGAAACUAUACGUUCGGCUGUUCCCAUCGUAUAAUUGACUCAUAUUUUAAUUUUAUCACUUCAUGAAUAUGCCUUGAAGUGUUCUACACUGGUCUUAGUUUCGUUUUAAAUUGUUUGUACGGCUGCCUGUAAGGUCAAAUAGUAACUUAUAUGUAGGUCCUGUAAAAAAAACAGACCUAGGCUGAACUACGCCUAUUAUAAUAAAGACAUUAUUAUUCUGUUAGUGGGGCCAAUAGAGCCUCCAGCUUGGUUCAAUGAACGACUGUCUUUUCAACCCCUAAUACCAGUCCGCGUUCUCGUAGUUAGUGGCCCCUGAGUACUGUCAUGUAUCUGAAUUAAGGAAUAAACCCCGAUAAUUCUUAUUAUGUCUAUAAUUUACCUUGCGUAACGAUUUAUAUUCUCUAUUACAAAGUAUUAUAAUUAUUGUUUACUGUGUAAUACUUGUUGAAAGAUCCCCGUAACAUUUAAAGUAAUUUAGUAAAUGACUCUAUUGUUGGAAUUUAAUAACGCAAUUUUGUCACGCAUACGGUAGUGCUUUGAUUCGUGCGUGUCGAUUUUCAUCUUCCUUCCUUCAUACGCCGUAUCAAAGUACACGUCGUUUAAAUAAGUUAGAACGCAUGGAAUUUUAAUUGCCAUCGUCCAUAUAUAUUGAUCUCUGGCAAUUGGAUUCGUACUUUGGGGAUUCCGAAGUAAUUAAUUGAACCAAUUUCACCUAGUGAGGUGUAGUCUUGCUUGCUUUGAUGUGGUGUAUUGAGGUGUACCUUUCUGUAGAUUGAGUUAUAAUUGGUCAUAGUGCAAUUUUCAUCGACCAUUGUUACAUUUAUCUACGAUGUAAAUUCUAUUAUCAAGUUAUUCACCUUGCACCUGACAAAAGAUAUUAACAAGUUUUUAAACUUAGAUAUCUGCUGCAGGUAUGAAUUCAGUGUUGAUAUACAUUUUUUUCUCUUUUAUUUUUAAUGUGCAAUGUACUCAUGUUUGUGUGAAUGAAACUCCGUAGAUUUUAUACAUUUAUUUGUAGUAUAAUAAUUUUUAAGUUUAAAGUGAAAAAUAUUUUGUUGUUUUUUAUGUACAAAUAAAUGGGAUAUUAUUAUUAUUAUCAGCCUGUUUAUUUAAGAGACAUGUAAAUUUUAGCAUAUCAUGGAAGACAGGUUACCUUUGAUUUAUUUUAGCGUUUUAAGUACCGGUAUAAGUUCCUGAUACUUUUACUGUACCUACAAUUCUUGUUCGACAUACGAGUUUGGUAACCUUGGAUUAAGCCCAGAUUUGUCUGCGAAUGCCAAGACCCUUGAUUUUACCGGUUUUCUUUGAAGGCGUUGAAAUAAAUUUUGUGUUUGAGUAAUAAGAAAAAAACCAUUAAAGGAAUCUAUCAAUAGUCAGUAGUAGUAGUAUGUGUAAAACUCCUCCGUUAGAUGUCACCUGCUGUCGUCCCUAUCCUUUGUACUUAAAUACUUUCUUAGUACCACACUUGUUUGUGCUUUUCUUUGUCCCUAUAAAGGAUUUUGUAUUAUUUCACCGGAGACUUUACCAUGGGUGAUAUGGAAAUUCUCAUAACAGAUUUAGAUCAUCCUAAAAAAAGUGCUCAUAGAAGGUGCUAACAGGAACUGUUCCGACCGUUUAAAAGCUAGCGAAAAUGAACACGAAAUUUGACAUUUUCAGUUUUUCGGUGAUAUCUCAGUUAUUUUCAAAGAUUUUUCAAAAAUGUUUAGUCACAAAAAGAGGUAACUUUGCCCCCCCCCCCCUCCCCUAUUUAACCUACGCUGUAUUUCUAAAGCCCACAUUACAUCUAUCAACUAAUUCACGAAUUUGCCCAUGGACAAAUUCAAGGUUAAAUUGUCAAGUGUAAAGUACUAUAAUUCAUCAAUUUUCUGAAUAAUUUCUUCAUGGAUUUGUUGGUGGAUUCCUUGAUGAAUUAAGAACUUGCUCUAAUUUUCGUCAAUUUUCUGGUGAUAUUUUAGUAAUUUUGUUGUUAUUCCAUGUAUACCAAUAGACGGCG